UAACACAUGCAAGUCGAGCGCGCCUUCGGGUGAGCGGCGGACGGGUUAGUAACGCGUGGGAACGUGCCCUUCUCUACGGAAUAGCCUCUGGAAACGGAGAGUAAUACCGUAUACGCCCUUUGGGGGAAAGAUUUAUCGGAGAAGGAUCGGCCCGCGUUAGAUUAGGUAGUUGGUGGGGUAACGGCCUACCAAGCCUACGAUCUAUAGCUGGUUUUAGAGGAUGAUCAGCAACACUGGGACUGAGACACGGCCCAGACUCCUACGGGAGGCAGCAGUGGGGAAUCUUAGACAAUGGGGGCAACCCUGAUCUAGCCAUGCCGCGUGAGUGAUGAAGGCCUUAGGGUCGUAAAGCUCUUUCGCCUGUGAUGAUAAUGACAGUAGCAGGUAAAGAAACCCCGGCUAACUCCGUGCCAGCAGCCGCGGUAAUACGGAGGGGGUUAGCGUUGUUCGGAAUUACUGGGCGUAAAGCGCGCGUAGGCGGAUUAGAAAGUUGGGGGUGAAAUCCCGGGGCUCAACCCCGGAACUGCCUCCAAAACUGCUAGUCUAGAGUUCGAGAGAGGUGAGUGGAAUUCCGAGUGUAGAGGUGAAAUUCGUAGAUAUUCGGAGGAACACCAGUGGCGAAGGCGGCUCACUGGCUCGAUACUGACGCUGAGGUGCGAAAGUGUGGGGAGCAAACAGGAUUAGAUACCCUGGUAGUCCACACCGUAAACGAUGAAUGCCAGUCGUCGGAUAGUAUACUAUUCGGUGACACACCUAACGGAUUAAGCAUUCCGCCUGGGGAGUACGGUCGCAAGAUUAAAACUUAAAUGAAUUGACGG
rnacentral:rRNA from 1 species